rnacentral:rRNA from 1 species
UACGUAGGGUGCAAGCGUUGUCCGGAAUUAUUGGGCGUAAAGAGCUCGUAGGCGGUCUGUUACGUCGGCUGUGAAAACCUGGGGCUCAACUCCGGGCCUGCAGCCGAUACGGGCAGACUAGAGUUCGGUAGGGGAGACUGGAAUUCCUGGUGUAGCGGUGAAAUGCGCAGAUAUCGGCAGGAAGACCAAGGGGAAGCCAGGCGACCUGGGCCCGUACUGACACUCAUGGACGACCGCGUGGGGAGCGAACCGG